rnacentral:rRNA from 1 species
UACGUAGGGGGCAAGCGUUGUCCGGAUUUAUUGGGCGUAAAGAGCGUGUAGGCGGCCAGAUAAGUCCGCUGUGAAAACUCGAAGCUCAACUUCGAGCUGUCGGUGGAAACUAUCUGGCUAGAGUCCGGAAGAGGAGAGUGGAAUUCCUGGUGUAGCGGUGAAAUGCGCAGAUAUCGGGAAGAACACCCGUGGCGAAGGCGGUUCUCUGGGACGGUACUGACGCUGAGACGCGAAAGCGUGGGGAGCGAACAGG